AGCUUUGCGCAGAGGCGAUAUCGUACACAAUGAGGUUUAUCCGAGUGGCGAUUAUUGCUAGUUGAAAACUAACACCAAUUACCCGCCAUGGGGACGUGAAAUACCGUCCACUACGGCAAUUUUUGAUCGCCCCUAACCGGG